GACGAACGCUAGCGGCAGGCCUAAUACAUGCAAGUCGUACGGCAACACAGUUGCGAGCAAUCGCAACCGGUGGCGAGUGGCGCACGGGUGAGUAACGCGUAUGUAACCUACCCUUCUCCGGGACAUAACUCCGCGAAAGCGGUGCUAAUAUCCCAUACCAACUCAUCAAGACAUCUUCUUGAGUUGAAAGCAGCAAUGCGGUGAAGGAUGGGCAUGCGUCCCAUUAGCUAGUUGGCGGGUAACGGCCCACCAAGGCGACGAUCGAUAGCUGGUCUGAGAGGAUGAUCAGCCACACUGGAACUGAGACACGGUCCAGACUCCUACGGGGGGCAGCAGUGGGGAAUCUUCCACAAUGGGCGAAAGCCUGAUGGAGCGACGCCGCGUGAGCGAAGAAGGCCUUCGGGUUGUAAAGCUCUGUCUGGAGGGACGAAGGAAGUGACGGUACCUCCGGAGGAAGCCACGGCUAACUACGUGCCAGCACGG
rnacentral:rRNA from 1 species